AAGAAAGCAAUCACAAUGAAAACCGGUAGCGAACAAACCAAGAAACUUACAAAGAAAAUGACUUCAAAUAAUUCCAAUGGAGUCUGGCUGCUAUAUAUUCUCUCUAAUCCUCCAUCUUAAAUCUUUCUUCUUUUUGGAUCUCUGCUUCUUCAAAGAAAUACCCACAAUAAGGUAUGUCUUUUUCUUUUUUCUUUUUCUUUUUCUUUUUCUUUUUUUCUUUUUUUCUUUUUUUGUGUCUUCAUAAAUUAUAUAUUGUUCUUAAUUGUUAAUGCAUUGCCAGGUUUGGGCAAAAGGAUUUGUGGGUUUUAAUGGGGUUUUUCUUUUCAUUUAGAGUUUAUCAAGAAUUUGAUUGAUUUUGAUUUUCUUUCUCAUUUUUGCAGAACCUAUGUUUAUUUAAGUUUAAAUUAUUAAUAUUGAAAAUUAAUUAAGUAAUUUUUCUAAGUAUCUGUUGAGUUUUGUUGUUAACCUGCUAAUAUGAUGUUACAUUGAAGAUUAUUUAUUUAUUUAUAUUGACAACUUGACAAGUUUAGUUUAGAUUAAUGGUAAUACAUGUGAAAAGAUGGGUAUUGAAAGACAUGAUUCUUAAGAAUUGUAAUGUAAAUAUUGUCUUUGAAUUAGCCUGCACUCCAACUAGUUUUGGAUAAAAUGCAUUGUUGAAUUGAGUUUAUUUAACAUUGCCUUUGAGUCUAUGAAGUGGUUGACAUUGUAUUGUGCAGGGUUUGAUAAAUGUUUAAUUUUUAACGAAAUUGGGGUCAACUUCCAAAAGUUUAUUUUAAUCAAAUAUGGAUUCACAGAAAAAAGAUCAUGGUCCAAAUUGAGUGUUUGGUAAUUCGUGGUUGGUACUAUCAAAAGAAAGCAAUUAAAGGCUCUUAAAUAUAUUAUAAUGAAGAAUGCCUUGCAAUUGUACAAUCUUCCAAUAUAAUAGAUGACUAUUAACAAGAUUAUAUGUCAUGGUAAUGAGGGUGAUUACCAUACAAUUAUGCUAAAAAUUGGGGUGUUGUUAGAAAAUAUCUCUUGCAUUGAUUGUCCUUAAGGAAGCUGGAGUCAUGACUAAUAGUCUAGCACUCUUGUUCUUCCCCAUAAUUUUUUUUUCUCCCAGAAUCAUCCAAGGUUAUUUUUUCCCAUACUUGUUUGUGUGAUUUUUGAUAACAGUCAAAAUAUGUGAACAAGUAACAGUUGGUUUUGGUACAAGUGAACAAUACAAUCAUUCACUUUGAUUAGUUUUCCACCACCUUUCAUCAGUGUAUCUCAGAGAAUGUAUUUUGCGAAGAGCAGAUGUUCUCUUCAAGAUCUAUCCACAUUUCACAUUUAUUGAAUAAACAAGAUUUAAAGUACUUCUAACAAGAAACUUCUAUUGAUAUGUUUAGUCUAAAUAUGACGGAAGUCGAUACAGGAAGUUCACGAUCCAACGAGAAGCGACCUGUGGGAUGUACCACACUGAGAAACGAAUCGAAAAAUCCUGCAGAUAAUGGUGGAAGCAGUCCUGUGUUUAUUAAUCAUGGUAAUAAUUGUUAGAUAAAAUAGUAGUAUCACAGCAUAAGAUUUUCCCUGUUUCGAUAAUUGCAUUAAAGAAUCAUCAAAGCUAAUUUAUUUGGCGUAUUUGAGUUUAAGUUGCUAAGAUUUUGCAGUAAUGUACUUGCGCAACAGAUCAGAUUUCAUGGACUUAUCAACCGCUCUCUUACUAGACUUCCAUGAUCAUAUUUAGUUUGCUUUCCCCAAGAUUUUUCCUAUAAAAGCAACAAGAUCUAUUUGCCAAAUUACCAUCAUUACACCCUCCCAACACGAAUUCAAUUGCCAGUAACAUUUUCUGUUUGCCUCGUAAGUUCCUGGGAAAUUGACUAUAGAAAACUGGAUGAUUACUGAUGUAUCCAAUCUCGUUCCCCUUCCUAUUUAUCUCUCUUCUCCACUUUCCUGCAAAGUGAACUACCUGCUUGGUCAUCCUGAACAAAGUUUUUUUGUGAAAUGUUUAAUGAUGAAUUAUUUUGGUGGUGCCAUCGCAGAGACAUUGCGUAAGAGAUGACAAAGUGAAUGUUAGGAUGCCAUGCUGCAGCAUUUUCUGCUUUGUAUUAGAGGGUUGGGACUAUAUUUGCAGCUUUCAUUGAGAACUUUCUCCUAGUCAUCUUAGAUUGUCAAUUACUCCCCGUGUUCCACAAAAAUUAUUUUAAAUACACUUUCAACACAAAUUAAGAAACUUAAAGUAGAUGAGAGAGUACAAGUUAAGUUCCAUUUUUACCCGUAGUGGACCCCACAUAAGUGCAAUAGUGAAUCAUUUUUCUUCUUAAAAUUAGUGGACCCACCUAAGUACUUUUGAGUUUUGAGGGUAAAGUAAUUGAUAUUGGACAGUCUCGCGCAACAUGGUUGGACCAAUACAAGAGACUUUGGAAGUCUAAUAUUGUUUGCAAUGGCUACAAAUUUGGCCAGAUAUUGUGGUAAUUACAGAAUGAAAGGAGAAACAAAUUUGCAUAUAGAUAUUUAGUUACAUUUAAGCUUUUCCGUGACCUCUAAAAAUAAUACAGCGUAAUAGUAAUAUGUGAAAUGUAUUACGUAGCUGUAAUUGCUUGGCAUGAGAGCAGAAGAAAAUGGAUUGGAGAUCCAUCUCAAAGAUCGCAGAGGACAUCAAAAGAUCCAAUUAUAAGGUACACGCCUUUAGCCAACAACAUUUUCUUAGUGCCACUAAUUUUAAUUUGAUGUAUAAUAUUUUUUUGAUGCAGUGAUGUUUUAUAUUUGUUUGAAAUAUAAUAUACAUCUCCUUGCCGUAGUUGUACUAUGCCCUGCCACUUCCUGAUGGAACCAGUUGCAUUCACAGUAACGAUUUGUAUAGUUAUAUAGGUUACAAAAAAUAAUAGAAAGCUGCCAUUAUGCAGUGUGGUACAACAAAUGUGAAGUACUGGAAGACAGUAUUAUUUGCAUAAAGUUGUUGCUUGCUUGAAUCCACGUAACUCUUGUCAGCCCAAGUUUCUAUAUCAUUGCAGCAAUAAACUUCCUCCAAAGAAUAGGUUUUCUAUUUAUAGAUUCAGAAAUAAUUGAAUUACUGUUGGUAUAUCAUAGAGUGGGGAGCUAUAAUCUGUAAUAGUUUGGAAGCACCGAAAGCUUAGCUUGGUUUAUUACCAUUAGAGAGUUCAGAAUGGAUAUUUUAACUAGGAAUUAGCUGGGGAAUGUAAUACAUUGUUGAGAAAUCAGGCUCACACAAAUACAAUAAGAUAAACACAAACAGACUACUGUAUGAGAUAUAAAUUAAUAAUACCAAAAUUUUACGUGGAAACCCAACUGGAAAAAAUCACGGAGAGAUCUCAUAAAAUCACUAUGAAAAUAAUAUAGAGAUUACAAACUCUCAACUCUAACUGAGCUUUUCUAUUCUCUCGGAUUCUUUGCUCCUCAACUGAUGUUGUAUUUUAGUUGCUCAUCAGAGCAUUCUAUUUAUAGAACAAACUCAGGAGACACACUCCCUUAAAUUAAGGAGCAAAGUUUGAAAACUUUGCUGAUAGGUGGCUCCCAUAGGAGAUUUCAUGGAACAAAUUAAGAAUAGUUUCUUUGACAAGAAGACUGUGAAAUCUCCUUAUUCAAAGACUUUGAUGUACAUGCAUUUAUUGGGGUUCCGACUGACAAACCAAAAUGGGAGUCAAUAUUCAACAAUUUCCACCUUGGCUCAUAUUCUCCAAAAACUACGUAUUGUGAACUUUUUUGUGUCUGUGAAUGUAUUCCUCCUUAGAUACUCCACCACGAACUCAGUAUUCAAUGAAGUGAAUUAUAAGUCCAAGCAAUGCUUGAGCUUUUCUGUUGUAAAUGACUUUGUGAGCAUAUCUGCGACAUUCUCCUUUGUGUGAACUUUGCGAACUGCAAUGUAACCACUGUUCAGCCACUCACGAAUCUUGUGAUACCAAACAUCUAUAUGUCCUGGGCCUCCUGGCGUGGAACACUUGGUUCUUCUCUAAAUGAAUAGCACUUUGACUAUCACACUGUAUCUGGAUAUUGCCCUGCUUGAAACCUAGUUCUUCAACUAGUCCCUUUAGCCACAAAGCAUCCUUACUUGCCUCUGUCAAUGCCAUAUACUCAGCCUAUGUUGUUUAUAAUGCUAUUAUAGACUAAAACACUUAUCUCCAACAUAUAUAUCCUCCACAAAAGGUUUAUAUAAGCCCUGUUGUAGAUCUCCUUGGAUCUAGGUCUCCAACAUAAUCUGAAUCAACAAACCCUGUAACCUUACUUCUUACAGUAUCAUGAUCAAACAUAAGAUCGUAAUUAGUUCCUGCUAGAUAACGAAAAAUUCAUUUGACAACAUUUCAAUGCUCUUUCCCUGGAUUUGCCAUGUACCUGCUAACCAUGCUGACUGCGUGUGAGAUAUCUGGCCUUGUGCAUACCAUGACGUACAUGAUACAUGAGACAAUCCACUACAUUUGCAUACGGUACUUUGGACAUAUACUCCACCUCAUCAUCUGUUCGUGGGCUCAAUUGUGAAGAUAACCUGAAAUGUGCUUCCAACGGAGUGCUAACUGAUUUAGCAUUGUGCAUGUUAAACCUCUCCAAGACCUUCUGCACAUAUCUUUUCUGAGUUAGCCACAACUUUCUUACCUGACGAUCCCUUCCAUACCUAGGAUCUUCUUGGCUGAUCCAAGAUCCUUCAUAUCGAAUUCAUUGCUCAACAAAUUCUUCAACUGAUUAAUAUCUGACUUCCUCUUUACUGCUAUCAACAUGUCAUUGACAUAUAACGUCAACAAUACUAGAGAAGGGACUGCUUCAAACCAUAGAGAGACUUUUUCAAACUACAAUCUAAACCCUCUUUCCUUGGUUCAAUAAACCCCUCUGGUUGCUUCAUGUAGAUCUUUUCUACUAAAUCACCAUUGAGAAAAGCUGUUUUCACAUCAAGCUGCUAUAACUCCAUAUCCCGUGAUGUUACGAUAGAUAAGAUCAACCGAAUCGACGUGUGUUUCACAACUGGUGAGAAUAUCUCAUUGUAGUUGGUUCCCUCUCUCUGAGAGAAUCCCUUUGCCAUUAACCUGGCCUUGAAUCUUUCACAUUCUUUAUCAGACUGAGCUUCCUUUUUCUUGAACACCUAUUUACAUUUUAAAGCUUUUGAUCGUUUUGAAAGUUGAACUAACUCCCAAGUCUGGUUCUUCUGUAAAGAUUCCAUCUCUUCUGCCAUCGCUAUCGCCCAUUUAUCAUUAUCCUCGGACUGAAUAACAUCCUGAUAGCUAGUUGGAUCUCCACUACCAGUAAUCAAGGCAAAUCCAUGUCUUCAAACCCAUGUCUCUGCACUGGUUUGCUGACUAGCCUUUCCCUAUCUCUAACAAGAUUAUAUAGGACUUCUCCUGGGAAUCUGAAGGAUGAUCAUCUUCAAUAUCUUUAGCUUCUUUUGUCUCUUCAGGAAGCUCCACCUCAACUGGGUGUUUCUGCAACUCACUUGCUGCAGAUUCUUCAUUCUCAGACUUGUUCAAAAUGUUUUUCUCAUUCAACACCACAUCUUUGAUGACAACCUUCUUCUUGCCAUCUUCAUAUCCAAAUAAAAUACAUUCCUUUGACCUUGGAUCAAGUUUGGACUGUUGCUCCUCGACCGGCAGAUGAACAUAACAUGGACAACCAAAGAUUUUCAUCACAAAAAAAUCAAUUGGUUUCCCACUCCAUACCUCUUCGGGGAUUUUGUUCUGAAGGAAAUCGAUUUAUCAUAUAACAGACUCUGUUGAGUGCCUUAACCCAGAAAUUCUUGGGCAAACCUGCAUUCAACCUCAUACAUCUGGCGCGUUCCAAUAGAGUUCUGUUUAUCCUCUCUGCAACCCCAUUUUGAUCUGGAGUUCUUUUAACUGAGAAGUGUCUAGUGAUACUUUCAUCUUGGGAGAAUUAUAGGAAUGACAUGUCCUUGUAUUCCAUAAUUAUCUGAUCUAAAAUACUUUAGCAUAUUUCCGGUCUGGUUUUCUACUUUAGUUUUCCACUGCUUAAAGAUUUUGAAAACCUCGGACUUCUGCUUCAUAAAAUACACCCCACACCUUUCUGGAGUAGUCAUGUAUGCAGCUGACAAAAUAAUGGGCUCCACCCAUUGAUGUAUGCUUGAUCGGGCCCCAAACAUCUGAAUGUACAUAAUCAAGUACAUUUUUACUGGUAUGUGCUCUUGCCUUGAAGCUUACCCUUUGUUGUUUGCCGUACAUGCAAAACUUGCAAAAUUCUAAACUGCACGUUUUGACACCUUUCAACAACUGCCUUUUGUGAAGUUCUUUUAUUUCACCUUCACUCAAAUAACCAAGUCAUAUGUGCCAUAAUUAUGUGCUAUCACUGUUGGAAUUAUCCUGCACAGAAAUUGCUGUUCCACCAGUAACUGUGUCCUCUAUCAACUUAUAGAGGGUGCCCUUUUUUUGGCCCUUUAUAAUUACCAUCGAACCCUUGGUAAUUUUCAUGACACCAUCUCUGACUGAGAUAGUACAACCUAUAGAGUCAAGUACUUCAACCGAUAGCAAACUUUUCUUCAAUUUUGGAAUAUACCUUACAUCACCUAAUAUUUUGACGACACCGUCAAACAUUUUAAUUUCGAUGGUGCCUAUCCCAGUAAAUUUGUAGGUUGCAUUGUUAACCAAUAGAAAUGUACCGCCAUUGUAGGAUGUAAAAGUAUUAAAACAAUCCCUAUGAGGGGACAUAUGAAAAGAACAACCGGAAUCCAUGUACCAAUCUAUAAGGUUGCUACUAUCUCUAACAGAUAACAGAUCAUCUUGUGAAGCUUCAUUUUCUGUCACUGUGUACAGCUCCAUCGCUGCACACAUUGCUUAGCAACAUUAGCAGAAUUAACAAUCUACUUACCUUUCUUCUUGUUUUCUUUCUUCAACAAUGGACACUGAUUUUUGUAGUGCCCUUCUCGUGGCAAUGAUACUCAAUUUGAGAUUUAUCCUUCUUGCCUGGUCUCGACUGAGACUUUCCUCGUUCCGGUCAGAAUUCUUCUUUCGAUUAGGACCCUUGUCACGCCUAUAUGAAAAUAUAAGAAGACUGUCUCCUUGAUCUCUAGAAGUAAUGUCUGCGAAAUUAUUCUCAUCCAGGACUACUGACAUCAUAUCGUCAACUGCAAGCUUUUUCUUCCCUACAAGGAGAAUAAUAUGGAGAGUUGAGUAUGAAUAUGGUAGAGAAACAAGAAGUAAUAAGACUUUAUCUUCUUCGUCCAGCUUCACAUCUAUACUGGUCAGCUGGGUCACUAAUCUAUUAAACUCAUUAAUAUGAUUUGUCAAAUCUGAACCUUCUUCCAUUCAAAGCCGGUACAAUUUCUUCUUCAAAUAUAAUCGAUUUGACAAAUACUUCGACUUGUAAACUUUCUCAAGUUUCUCCCACAAACUCUUCGGAGAGGUUUAUGUUAAAACCUGAUAUUUGAUCUGUGGCGCCAACUUAAUCUGAUUGUUGCCACGACCUUUGCUUCAAGUUUUGCCUAUUUUUCUUCUGUCAUAUUUGUUGAUUUCUUCUCAUUCCCUUCUAGUGCUUUUGCCAGAACCAAUACAUCUUUGACCGUACUCUAUCAAAUACUGAAAUUUGACUUUCCAUCAAAUGGUUCAACAUCGUACCUCAUACUUGUGUUUGUCGUUUUUGUAUUUAUAACAUGCGAGUUUUUUCAAUAAACAGAUGGUACCAGUUGGCCGGGUAAGUGUAAGUUGGGUGGGAGUCACUCUGUGCUUUUGCAACGGUGACUAAUUAAAUAACAACCUUUCUUAAAAGCGCUGCCUUUUGAACCACUUUUCUAGACACCAACGACGUGAACCAAAAGCUCUGAUACCAAUUGUUUAGAAAUCAGGCUCACACAAAUACAAUAAGAUAAACAUAAACACACUCCUGUAUGAGAUAUAAAAUAAUAACACUAGAAUUUUACGUGGAAACCUAACUGGAAAAAACCACGGGGAGAGAUCUCAGAAAAUCAUUAUGAAAAUAAUAUGGAGAUUACAAACUCUCAAUUGAGAAAUAAACUCUCUACACCCUCACACUCAGAAUGCUCUAACUGAGCUUUUCUACUCACUCGGAUGCUUUGCUCCUCAAUUGAUGGUGUAUUUUAGUUGCUCAUCAGAGCAUUCUAUUUAUAGAACAAACUCAGGAGACACUCCCUUAAAUUAAGGAGCAAAGUUUGAAUAGGCGGAUCCCAUAGGAGAUUUCAUGGAACAAAUUAAGAAGAUUUGCUUUGACAAGAAGACUGUGAAAUCUCUUUAUUCCAAGACUUUGAUGUACAUGCAUUUAUUGGGGUUCCCACCGACAAACCAUAAUGGGAGUCAAUAUUCAACACAUUCAAUGUGAAAUAUUUUCUUAUGUAAAGCCUAAAGGAAAGAAGUAUAUCAGAAACUCUACAAAGGAGUUUAGGAGAGAUCUUGGGUGAUCUCUUGUCACAGUAACUAGGUGGAGAACCUGGUUAAAGGGGAACUGCUGUAUCUAUUUGUCUCUCUCUCUCUCUCUCUCACACACACACACACACACUCUAGUCUUUUGUAUUUGAUGAUAAAGAUUGGAACCUUGAAUUUAAAAUAAACUUCAAACAUAUGUUUCAUCGUGGACCACUUGUCGGGAAAAAAAAAUUCAUUUCCAACCCAAAACAGUUCCUUAAUCUUUCUCUCUCUCUUAUGGACACACAUAAAAACACAUUUAUGUCUUUAGAAAAGGCAUCCCUUGUAUUUACAAUUAAUUUCAUCUAUAUACAUAUCAUCUUCAAGCGCUUAAUAAUGUAAAAGUAAUCUUGAACCAAAAUGAUGGCUAAGGUUGAUUUUACUGAUGAAGAGGAGUUUUCCAAUAAUCAAUCUCUUAUACAAGGAAUUGGCUUACAAACUUGCGUUAGAGGUAGUUAUCAGGAAAGAAGAUUCCACUUAGUCCAAUAGAAGGAUGUCAAUCAAAUGACGAAUAUAUACUAAUUUCCUCAAUCCUAUAUAGUUCGUAUUAACUAUUAAACUCUUGAUAUUGUAGUAAGAAGUUAACUCUAUCCAAUUUGAAGUAUGGAGUUAGGUUGGUGAAAACUUAAGUUUCUGACGAUGGAGCAGUAUCUGAUAUGAUAUGCAUGUGUAUGUGUGUGUUACUUUGACAUGGAUGUGUUUCUGUUCCCCUGUUGCUAAAUUCUAGGAUUUUGGAUUGUUACAAAAAUAUUCUGUAAAUCCAAGGUACCUACAAAUACAUCAUUUAAGCACGACUCUAGUAAUUUGAGGUUCAGUAUAUGAUUUGGUAUUUUGUUUGGACAUUAAUCUUUUGUACCCAAGUUGAGCAUAUUAUUUCCAUGAACCAUGUGCGUCUCAUUGGAUUUAAUUACUCAUGUUGAACCUCCACUAAUAUUACCAUUUUCUUAAGAAAUUGAGCAAGUUUGGGGAAUUUGUGUGGCAAGAGUUUUAAUGAAACAAGUUUAUCCAAAUUAUGAAAUAGUCUUUUUAUUAUGGGUAGUUGGUUAUGAUUUAGACUCAUACAUUCAACCCAAAUAAAAUUUGGGGAAUUAUCUUAUCUCCCAUCUUUUGAAUAUCAAUGUAAAAAUUGCAUUUUUACUGCGCAAAUUCAAAGUUAUUCGCUACAGUGUUUCAAAUUUAUUUCUGGAGAAGAUAGAAAAAAUAGAAUACUUUUAAUGUGCUUUUGUAUCUUUAGAGAAAAUAGGGACAAUUUUUGAACAUUUGAUUCCAUAUUAUGGGUUCAAGUUGUGGCUCCAAAUUAUGGAGAAACUUUAAGGAUCUCCCUGAACUUUAGCCUGUAACUUGUACGGGUUGCUACAAAAGUUGAGUGUUGCAUUUUGUCAGUGGACUCUAAGCCAUGCUCUACUUGUCUGGAGAGAGAUUCAGAUGUGUUUUAUGCAGCUAUGGACGGCAUAGGCAUCUCUGCUUCUUACAGCCUCUAAAGUCAAGACGCACUUCUCAAAAGUGAGAAACAUUUUUUAGUUGAGCAUUUAAGUUGAUACUCUGCUUAGAUAAUUGGGUCUUGUUAAAAUACAAUAGGGCGAAAUUUCCCAAGAAAACAAAGUUCAUUGGUGCCUUGCCAAACACACAUUCUUGGAAGUGAGGUUUAUAACACUAACUUUACUGACUAUUUAUACUCCAACAUUUGUUUGACCUCAUAAUCUAUCAGUGAAAGAUAACUGCCACAAUCUUUUUCGUGCAGCUGGUCAAUGACUUAUGAAGACUUGCUCUCAACUUGUGAUCCUUUCAGUGAGCCAAUCCCUUUAACUGUAAGAUAUUUUUACAAAGCAUUGUACCUUAACAUACAUAUUCACACACACUUACAGACACAUCCAAACACACACACAAACACACGUGUGUGUAUAUAUAUAUAUAUAUAUAUAUAUAUAUAUAUAAUCCAUACACACAUAUAUAUAGAGAGAGAGAGAUAGAGACAUGAUCCAUAGCCACUGCUGGCUAUGGAUCAUGUUCUAGCCAACCCAUCUUACGCCAUUCGUUGCGAUGUUUAAUUGCCCAAAUUAGAAAGACCACAUUAGUUAGGUUGAGAAAUCUAAUUAACUUCACCACCCAAAACACUCCAAGCAAUAAAGUCUGCAAUAAAGUCUUCAAGCUUUCAAUUAAACGGAGAUGACGGUGAAAUCCCACUACCAACAAACUGUAAUCCUCUCAAUUUAUUCUCUCGGCACAAUAAAUUGAGAAAGUACAAAUUUAUCUUUAAUUAGGUUGAAAAAUCUAAUUAACUUCACCGUCCAAAACAUUCAAAUCAAUAAAGUCUGCAUGCUUUCAAUUGAACGGAGAUGGCGGUGAAAUCCCACUAUCAACAAAUUGUAAUCCUCUCAAUUUAUUCUCUCGGCACAUUCUUGCUACCGAGUUUCUCUCAUAAUAAUAAGACUCCCUCAUAGUCUUAUUUAUAGUACUUUUCUUAAUUCAUUCCUAUUAUAGAUUGAAAAUAAUUUAUUCUCCUAAUCAAAUUACGGAUCACAUUUACUUGUUUUGAUCACCAACCAAACUAGUAAGUAAAUCAUUUUUCAACUUGAAUUCCUUUCAUGGGUGAGGACCCACACCCAAUAGUCUAGAAUGCAUGGAGGUUAUCAUACUGUUUAUGAACCACAUGAAUAUUCUUCGUUGUUGAGGUAAAACAUGAGGGGGUAAAUGUGUCGUUUCCCCUAUAUAAAUGUCGUUGUCUCAGCUUUCUGUCUUGUCAUGAUGGCUCUGUUUCUUUGAGUGAUUGAUACUGCGCUUCAUAUAUAGUGGGGAACUUAUAUGACUAGAUUAAAGGAUUAUCUAAUCGUAUAAAAGUUGUGUAUGCUAAUUCGAUAUCUAUUCUCUCUUUUAAAGAGAAAAUCCAUGUUUAAUAAGGCAUCCUUUAGUUUCUACCCGCCAUUUCGCCUUUAGCAUCCUAACAUUGAAAAUUCUGAAAGGAAAUCAAGUAAAAAGAAUUAAAUAACCAUCAUGGAAGAAAAUAGAUACAUCUAUAAUGGAAAGAAAAAAAGAUGCAACACAGAACUAAUAUAAAAUUAAUGAUUUUGUCGGUAUUAAGAAUUAUAGUUUCAGAUUAUUCUGUAUUUUUUUUCCUGGGAAUAUUGCUAAUUUAAAUUGACUGAUAUUUUGCAGGAGAUGGUAGAUUUUUUAGUUGAUAUUUGGCAUGACGAAGGGUUGUUUGAUUAGAUUGUCAUUUGUAGUUUGCAAUUUAGGUAGCAGUAGAAGGAAAUGCAAAUCUACACCUUCAGUUUACCAACAUCAGUCGACAUUGAAUUCUUUAACCGAUUCAUCUAACUCAUAACUUGUACAUCUGGAAAGGCCUUGAACACACUUGUUCAAGCCUAAAGGAUUAGAUGUUCAUGUCCUCAAAGUAGUUGUUGAUGUUGCCGUGUUUUAGUGAUCAACAAGUAGACAUCAUGUUGUAACAAUAGAUGGCUGAGUUCUGUCGCAGAAACUUAGAUUAUUUACUCUUUCGUUGUUUUAUCCAUUCAUUUGUAAAACAGAUUGAUGAUGAAACUUUGAAGGAUAAACAAUCUUCAAUACUUUUUUGUUGUUGUUGCCUUUUGGUGUUUACGUGCAUGGAAAUUGGAAACAGUGCAAGAAAUUUCAUUUUCAUGGGCGGCGAUGUUGAAUGCAACAAGUAGGCGCUUUCGCUAGAUUUCAUUUCAUUUAAACUUUUUUUUUUGCUAAAUUAAAUUUCAUAAUUUCCUUUCAUUUUUCUAGAGUUUUUUCAAGUUGUAAACGUAUUGGUAAGAGAGCGCAACAAAUAGGGAAAAAACUCCGUUAAUGAUGGAAGAGGGCAACAAUAGUUCUGGGUUAGAGAAUGAAGAGGAACAUCGGGAAGAAAAAGAAAAAGAAGUUCAAAUGAGAAAAUCCAAUACACAAGUAGGAGCAUUGGAACCACAAAACUGUUGUUGCGAAGAGAAUGAGGUUAAAUGUAAAGUCGACCACAACGUAAAUUGAGCUAUUUUUAUUUUCACAUGUGCGUUGACCUGAUGACGUGGCAAACGUGGCGCCUACGUGGCACACGUCACCAGGUCUGACAUAGUAUUUAAUAUUAAAAUUUGACACUUGUUCGAUGACGUGACAAGUCUUUUGAAUUUUUCCUAAAAUUUGCCUCUCCAUAGACUCGAACCUACGACCCAACAUUU
rnacentral:lncRNA from 1 species